CCAUAAGCGAACAGCAGCUAGUAGCAGUAACAACUGAGAAGAGAUAAGAACAGUGACAACAUUUAUUUAAUUCAAAAAGAACAAAAAACAAAAGGCAAUUCUAAAAAAAACUGCACAAAUAACAGAUUGUGGCAAAUAAUCAACAAACCAAGUGGUUUAAAUUCAAACCGAAAA